UGCUUGUGUCCUCCUGCAGAAGGGAGCUGGAACAGUUCUGGCACUGCUGGCUCACCGUGUCUUCCAUCCACCCUGUGUGCCGUGAGAGUAAACGUCAGAGGCAAGACGCGAAUGCCCUUCAGUGAGUCAUCUCUGGGUGGUCCUGCUCACUGAUUUGGGAUCUAACUAAUCUUUAAGCAGUGUUCUCCUCACCCGUAAUUUUCAAAUCAGAGCCUAAAUCUCACAGACAUGAAGGCAAUGGAACAGCAGCGUCUCUGUCUGCAAGGUAUCUGGUCCUUCGACCUCACCGUGACCCAGCUUCUUCAGGAGAACAUUCCAGAAGCAGAGCAAGGGGCUGCGAACGGUGUGCAAUGCUUCCUGAACCACCUCAUGGCCCUCCAUCCACUUCGUCUGGGUCAUGCUGGCUCUGCGGCCAUGGCAUUUCAGCGUCUCGUCUUCAUCUUCAUCCUAUUUGUAACCAUGGGGCACAUGCUGUAUUUUUUUUUUUUUUAAUGCAAGAAAGUGUAAGAUUAGAAACGCCCAUGUUCAGAAGACAGCAAAGAAGGGAGCUUUAACCUGACAGGUAGGCAGCCCCUCUCACCACUCAGAGCCCUAACUGGCCCUCACUCACACUGUUUGCAGUGAUUUCCCAAAGUUGCUGCUGGCUGCCUACCUCAUUCUGCUACUACAUUGGAGAGUGAUUCUGUCAUUCACCACCUAUGCCAGUAGCACCAACUGCGUUAAAGACAUCUUUGCGGCGAUGGCUACUAGCUGGAGUUUGAAAUGGGGCUGACGCAUGGCACGCCCAUUAUCUGAACUCAGAUUCUGCUCCAGACGACUUGAAGGGGUUUGUUUUAAUUUUGUCAGCAUAAUUCAAUGUUUUCAGGAUUUUAAAAAUUCGUUCUUUGGGUUCUAAAAUUACUAAAGAUCUUUGGUCAAUGUUAAAAUUAGAGUUGGAUCAUGGCCAGUGAUGUUUGGUCUCAGUCCUUUGGGUUUUUGUUCUAUGAAUGUUCUUUUGACAGUCUCUGUGCCCCUCAUAAGGACUGAAGCUCUUUGUUGUCGUAAAUUAUGGUAACAGCCUUUGGGUGGUUUCUAGACUCUAGAACAGGCAAGGGAUGUCUCCUGCGGAGGUGGGUGCAGGCGCAGGUGCCAUCUGCAGGGGAGCUGGAUCCUGGCCCAGCCCUGGGUCUCAGGCAAGGGUAGGUUCCCGCUGCUAGAGUGAUGGGAUUUUGGGAUUUUUUUUUUUUUUCUAUUUUUUCUUUGGGAUUUUGGGAUUUUUUUUUUCUAUUUUUUUCUUUUUUCUCAGGCUUUGGGAUUUUUUUUUUUUCUAUUUUUUCUUUUUUCUCGGGCUUUAGCACCUGCACCUAACUCCUCUGAAUGUAUAGAUAUUGGAAGGGGAGCCAGCUGUAAUUCUUGUGGACAUGGUGGAACUGGGAGAGAAGAAAAGAUUACCCACUUAUCUGCCUUUCUGUGUGUGUUUCCAAGGAUAGAAAUCUUCACAGAGCUUCCCAGC
rnacentral:lncRNA from 1 species